GAUGAAGAACGCAGCGAAAUGCGACAAGUAAUGCGAAUUGCAGAAUUCAGUGAAUCAUCGAAUCUUUGAACGCACAUUGCGCCCCUUGGUAUUCCGAGGGGCAUGCCUGUUCGAGCGUCAUUAUAACCCCUCAAGCUCAGCUUGGUGUUGGGGCCUGCUGCACUGGCAGCCCUUAAAAUCAGUGGCGGCGCCAUCUGGCUCUAAGCGUAGUAAUUCUUCUCGCUAUGGAGUCCUGGUGGAUGCUUGCCAUCAACCCCCAAUUUUUCUAUGGUUGACCUCGGAUCAGGUAGGGAUACCCGCUGAACUUAAGCAUAUCAAUAAGCGGAGGA
rnacentral:misc_RNA from 1 species